rnacentral:lncRNA from 1 species
CCGCGCGCCCCGCCUCGCGCCCUCUGGAGCUGACCGCUGUUCCCAGUGUCUCGCCCACCCCCGCGGGGCCCGUCCGACUCGACGGGUGCUGUCUCUCCUGUUGUUGUUGUCCUUUACACGAUGGUGUUGCAAGAAAAUGGAUAUGGUGUUGAGGAAGACAUUCCAACAUUACUAAUGGCUGCUAGCAGUAUGGAUGACAUUCUGGCUAUCACUGGAUUCAAUACAUGCUUGAGCAUAGUCUUCUCCUCGGGUAAACAAGAAAAUAUAACAACCACCAGAUCAUUCAU